rnacentral:rRNA from 1 species
UACGUAGGGAGCAAGCGUUGUCCGGAAUCAUUUGGCGUAAAGCGCGCGUAGGUGGCUUCGUAAGUCCGCUGUGAAAGUCAAAGGCUCAACCUUGAAGCCGGUGGAUACUGUGAAGCUAGAGUCCGGAAGAGGCGAGUGGAAUUCCUGGUGUAGCGGUGAAUGCGCAGAUAUCGGAGGAACACCGGUGGCGAAGGCGGUUCUGCUGGCCUACCUGACGCUGAGGAGCGGAAAGCGUGGGAGCGAACAGG